rnacentral:lncRNA from 1 species
CUGGGAAGAGGAAACAGGAGUAGAGAUACCUGCCAGCAAAUCAACUGUACUACGUGGCCAUGAAUCUGAAGUUUUUAUCUGCGCCUGAACCCAACAACUGAUUUAUUGGCUUCUGGCUCUGGUGAUAGUACUAAGGACAUACGAAUGAAGUAAACGCUAUCAAGUGGGAUCCUCAGGGUAAUCUUUUGGCUUCCUGUUCUCACGAUAUUGUGUACAGUGUCGCAUUUUCUCCCGAUGGCAAAUACCUAGCAUCUGGUAGCUUUGACUUAUGUGUACACAGCUGGUCUACUCAGUCGGGGCAAUUGUUACACAGCUACAAAGGAACUAGAGGCAUUUUUGAAGUUUGCUGGAAUUCUCGGGGCGAUAAAGUUGGAGCAAGUGCUUUUGACGGAAGUGUAUUUGCUGGGAUAACUGAACAGAAGUUUUAAAGAAAGACGGAAACAAUUGACAAGGCAAAAGAUUGGGAACCUGAAUGCUAUUCAGGUUUAAAGGAUGGUCAGUGACUACAGUUGGGAAUGAGGUUCUCAGUUCUAACACUAUUUCCUCCAGUAGUUCCACGUUAUUACCUCAUUAUCCUGGUACCGUGUCCACAAAGCAAAAAGGAUGGAGUUCUUCAACUGUGUCUCCUUCUUCCUAUGGGCCUUGAUUUUCUCGUGUGAGAGAAGCUUCUGUGAAAGCUUUACGUCUUCACACAGCUGCUCCAGCACCAACGUCAUCUUGUAAAACGGGAGAUUUGGGCCACCCGCCAACUGUCAUUGUGAAGCCCUUCACAAUCGUUAUUUGUUCUCAGAAGCAGCUCAGAGCAGUCAGUGGUUAUGUAAGAUAAAGGCUCCCUAGGGAACCUGUGUUGAAAGCGGCAAAACUCGUCUGAUGGUACCAUCAAAGAGAGAAAAAGACAGGCCACCACGAAAUCAUAAUUGAGGGAAAUUUCAAAAAAUAAAACAAGCGGUUAACAAAUUGAAUUUUAAAACAUAUCUAUCUUAUUUUUAUUGACAAAUCAAAUCAAAACAUAUUUAUCGACACUGUACACUGGUUCGGAGUGCUUGGUUAAGGUAUGAAUACACAACCCACGCUCAACGUCCCACAAAACGGUCGAGUCAAACGAAGCGCUAGCCAAAAUCAGAUUCAUGUUUGGGUUUUUUGUUCCAAGGCCGGUAAGACUCCAUUUUAUGGUGUAGAUUUCCUUGUUGUGUGCUUGCGAAUCAUGAACACAAGUGUCUUGUUACAUGUACCACAUCUAGGAAAAGGAUCGGACACAUUUGAUUUGAUAGUAUUUUGACAAGACCCAAUGAUGAAAACAUAGAUAAUUAUGACAUGUCAUUUGUGAGCGAUGAUGAAAUGUAAAUUUAACAUUCAACUGAUUUUUAAAUCAUAUUAUCUUAUUUUUAUUGAUGUAUAAAAUGUAUUGGCACUGGUUACCUGAAUAGCAUUCAGGUUCCCAAUCUGAGCCAGAAGCCAAUAAAUCAGUUGUUGGGUUCAGGCGCAGAUGAAAACUUCAGAUUCAUGGCCACGUAGUACAGUUGAUUUGCUGGCAGGUAUCUCUACUCCUGUUUCCUCUUCCCAGCCUUCAUUAAAUAGUUGAAGGGAAAAUAAGUAAGUAGUUCAGGGGAUCAAAGAAAAGUAUUGACCAUCUUACGAUAGGAAUGCAUGGGUUCAUCUCCAUUGGAAUUUGGUGGUUCUGUCUUUACCACUUGUGGUUUCUGAUUGUUCUGUGUUUGCUGUUGACGACUUGCAACAACAUCAGGCAUCACAGCAUCAAUGAGUGAUAAGCUUUCCAUGGGUUGUUCCGAACCAUCCUGAAAAACAAAAACAUACACGAGUAAAAAUUUGGUGGUAGAUAAAUUUCAUCAUAUUAAAAUUGUCACUCACAUCUCCAACACUGAUCUCAGACCCUUCUGGAUGAUGGAGAGAAGGGCUGCUGUUGCUACCAAUUGAUGUUGGAUUGUGAAAUAUGUGACUCUAUGCCAAAGGUGUAAGCAGAAUGCUGAAAACCUAUUUGAAAGGCAAUCAGCAGCGAUCAUGACGCCAUCAGGGUAGUCCAAUCAUGACGCUACCUAUUCACACAAGUUGAUAAUUACAAUAGUAGCAACUUAAGAUUGAAAAUAACAUGAUAUAAUUCUCUAACAUACCCGAAUUGAAGGUAAACAACUUACUCCAGCGAUAGCAUUGCACCAUAGACCACGCUAUUGAUGACGCUUGAUGUGUUGGCGUCUGCUAUGUGUGUGAAUCAAUUUGAAAUGAAAAUGAUUCAAAAUUGAAUUCUUACAGAUCAAAUGUAACGAAAAUUGUAAUUCAAAUUUUAAAAUGAUUAAAAAUAAAAUGUACACAUGUUGAA